CUGUUCAUCUUUAGUUACAAUGAAAAGUUUAAGCAGUACCGUCAACUGUGAUAAUCGAUGUGAGAAAAAAGAACACAUUGGAAUAAGUUGUAUUUUCUCGAUUGGACUGCGAAACUUAAUUAUACAGUUCACUGUAGGGGUCGUAGGGUUCUCUAUACAAGCAUUGCAUGAAAUAAAAAGUUAAAUUGACAAUAAUGGGACCUAAGUCACAAGACAAAGGUAUAAAAUAUGAAUCAUUUAUUUCACCAAUGAUGCAACUCUUUAUAACAACAUCAAGUUCAUAUCAAAAUUUAAGAAAAAACGUAUGAGUCAUAAAUUCAACCAAUGAUACAACUCUUGAUAACAUCAAGUUCAUGUCACAAUUCAAUCCCUUUGGCCAAAUUCUUCAAUUGUCUUCGUCGCAAGUGUAAGAACAUCAACAAAAGCACUAUAUGAUGCACGAAGAAACCUUGCUUCGACAGCCUCAAAAUGCCUGUACAUGCGAGUAUACAUUUGUCAAAAGGGCGAAAACAAUUCCAAAAUACAAAAACACUAGAUGUAUAAAGAAUGGUGAAAGGUCGAAUAAUUUGGUCUGCCUAUAUUGGAGUAUUCCGUCUUUAAGUAUAAUUGGUUUUCUUAAUGUAUUUGCCUCGUAUUUUAACUUGAACUUGUAAAUAAAUCCAAGGUAAAUCGUAUACUGACACUGAAAGCUUCCCAUUGGAGAUUGACAUCUCCCUUUUCACCUUGUCCGGCUGCAACUGUUGUGCAUGGCACAAUUCAAGUAUUAUUUCAGUCAGAAUUUAACUGAACACAAGCUUUGAAUCAGAAUAGCACAUGAUGGUUACCUCUUUAUCGACAACCAAUGCUGAAUAAACCAUGCUAGCUUUUUCAUUGGACUCGUAAUCUACUUCCAAGUCGC
rnacentral:lncRNA from 1 species